rnacentral:rRNA from 1 species
GAUGAACGCUAGCGACAGGCUUAACACAUGCAAGUCGAGGGGCAGCAUAGGGUAGCAAUACUCUGAUGGCGACCGGCAAACGGGUGAGUAACGCGUAUGCAACCUACCCUGUACAGGGGGAUAACCCGGAGAAAUUCGGACUAAUAUCCCGUAAUAAUAUCCGGAGGCAUCUUUGGAUAUUUAAAGUUCCGACGGUACGGGAUGGGCAUGCGUAACAUUAACUGGUUGGUAAGGUAACGGCUUACCAAGGCUAUGAUGUUUAGGGGUCCUGAGAGGGUGGUCCCCCACACUGGUACUGAGACACGGACCAGACUCCUACGGGAGGCAGCAGUGAGGAAUAUUGGUCAAUGGGCGCAAGCCUGAACCAGCCAUCCCGCGUGCAGGAAGACGGCCCUAUGGGUUGUAAACUGCUUUUCCAGGGAGAGAAACUUACGCACGUGUUGCGUGACUGACGGUACCCUGGGAAUAAGCAUCGGCUAACUCCGUGCCAGCAGCCGCGGUAAACUGUCUACG